CGCCGGUUUGUUGAACAGCUGAUCCCUUCGACGCGGCUCGCUCAUUUGCGCGCUGGAUUUCCGCGGAACAAGGAGAGCUACCGUCAUCUCGAAAAAUGGGACCGCCGGUAAUAAGAUGCGAGAUCUGUGAUGUGGUUUUCGGCUCGCUGACAGAAAAGCUAAAGCAUAAAAACUCCCGGCUUCACCAAGACAGACUCAUGCAAGAGACUGGGAGAGAGAUGCCGUCUCGUCCUGUAAACGUGAAACCCGCUCGCGUUUCGGAGGACGACAAGCUGAAGGCGGAAGCUUUCUUGAACAGUUUUCAACGAGACUACCAUGUUUGUCCGGUCGGUAAAAAUUUUGACGAAUUCCUAGAGGAGAAUAACAUUAAGAUCGUUCCUGAAGAAGAAGUUCCUGCCUCGUGAAAAGCUCUAGCGGACGACGUCUCUAUCAUUCCAAUAUUGUCGAGAAUGGAGCCGAUAUUGGCGAAGCAACAAUAAUAUCAUCGCCAACAGUUAUGUGCAAUGAAGUUUGUUAAAGAUAAUAAAAUAUUCAU